rnacentral:rRNA from 1 species
UACGUAGGGUGCGAGCGUUAAUCGGAAUUACUGGGCGUAAAGCGUGCGCAGGCGGUUCGUUAAGUUCGUUGUGAAAGCCCCGGGCUCAACCUGGGAACUGCAAUGGAAACUGGCGGGCUUGAAUGCGGCAGAGGGGGGUGGAAUUCCGCGUGUAGCAGUGAAAUGCGUAGAGAUGCGGAGGAACACCGAUGGCGAAGGCAGCCCCCUGGGUCAACACUGACGCUCAUGCACGAAAGCGUGGGGAGCAAACAGG